rnacentral:rRNA from 1 species
UGACGAGCGGCGGACGGGUGAGUAAUGCUUAGGAAUCUGCCCAGUAGUGGGGGAUAGCCCGGGGAAACCCGGAUUAAUACCGCAUACGUCCUACGGGAGAAAGCAGGGGAUCUUCGGACCUUGCGCUAUUGGAUGAGCCUAAGUCGGAUUAGCUAGUUGGUGGGGUAAAGGCCUACCAAGGCGACGAUCCGUAGCUGGUCUGAGAGGAUGAUCAGCCACAUCGGGACUGAGACACGGCCCGAACUCCUACGGGAGGCAGCAGUGGGGAA